rnacentral:rRNA from 1 species
AUUGAACGCUGGCGGCAUGCCUUACACAUGCAAGUCGAACGGCAGCGCGGACUUCGGUCUGGCGGCGAGUGGCGAACGGGUGAGUAAUACAUCGGAACGUACCCUGUUGUGGGGGAUAACUAGUCGAAAGAUUAGCUAAUACCGCAUACGACCUGAGGGUGAAAGUGGGGGAUCGCAAGGCCUCACGCAGCAGGAGCGGCCGAUGUCUGAUUAGCUAGUUGGUGGGGUAAAGGCCCACCAAGGCGACGAUCAGUAGCUGGUCUGAGAGGACGAUCAGCCACACUGGGACUGAGACACGGCCCAGACUCCUACGGGAGGCAGCAGUGGGGAAUUUUGGACAAUGGGGGCAGCCCUGAUCCAGCAAUGCCGCGUGUGUGAAGAAGGCCUUCGGGUUGUAAAGCACUUUUGUCCGGAAAGAAAUCGCGCUGGUUAAUACCUGGCGUGGAUGACGGUACCGGAAGAAUAAGCACCGGCUAACUACGUG